rfam:Candidatus Doudnabacteria bacterium RIFCSPHIGHO2_01_FTLL_45_18 rifcsphigho2_01_scaffold_67647, whole genome shotgun sequence.
GGGCGACUAGCUCAGGUGGUUAGAGCGCGUCACUGAUAAUGACGAGGUCGAUGGUUCGAGUCCAUCGUCGCCCA